rnacentral:rRNA from 1 species
AUUGAACGCUGGCGGCAGGCCUAACACAUGCAAGUCGAACGAGUGGCGGACGGGUGAGUAAUGUAUGGGAAACUGCCUGAUGGAGGGGGAUAACUACUGGAAACGGUCGCUAAUACCGCAUACUAUCGGAUGAGCCCAGAUGGGAUUGGCUAGUAGGGGGGGUAAAGGCUCACCUAGGCAACGAUCCCUAGCUGGUCUGAGAGGAUGAUCGGCCAUACUGGUACGGAGACACGGUCCAGACUCCUACGUGAGGCAGCAGUGGGAAAUAUUGCACAAUGGGCGAAAGCCUGAUGAAGCCAUGCCGAGUGUAGGAAGAAGGCCUUAGGGUUGUAAAGUACUUUCAGCGGGGAGGCGUUACCCGCAGAAGAAGCACCGGCUAACUCCGUGCCAGCAGCCGCGGUAAUGC